rnacentral:rRNA from 1 species
GACGUAGGGCGCGAGCGUUGUCCGGAUUUACUGGGCGUCAAGGGCGCGUAGGCGGCCACCGCAAGUCGACUGUGAAAUCUCCGGGCUUAACCCGGAAAGGUCAGCCGAUACUGCGGGGCUAGAGUGCAGAAGGGGCAACUGGAAUUCUCGGUGUAGCGGUGAAAUGCGUAGAUAUCGAGAGGAACACCUGCGGCGAAGGCGGGUUGCUGGGCUGACACUGACGCUGAUGCGCGAAAGCUAGGGGAGCGAACGGG